GUGUGUGUGUGUGUGUGUGUGUGUAAUAGAGAAAGCGAGAGAAAGUGAGAUCGUUGGAUAUAAGAUGUAAGAUGUCUUCAUGACUACCUGCGCAGUCGACCUGUCAUUUGCAUCUGUCGCGAAUGGUGCCGUCGUGAUAACGGGAAUAAAAUAGCGAUCGGAAAUCAAUACACUGUUGUUUUAAGGGUGCCUCCUAGGCGUAACACGUUCUGGAAUGGAGCGUUUGAUGCGGUAAGCGCUUCAGGUUGACGAGAACAAGACUACCACAGGCUCGCCGCAUCGUCCUAGAGGCUUCAGUCGCGCUGUGAAGCCACGAUGACACGCGAUAGCUCUUUGCCGCGAGGCUUAUCACCGCGUGUGCAAACAUGUCAGAAUAACAACAUAAAGAACAAGACAUGCUGAACUAAUGAGAGAAAUCAGAGAGAUGGAUAAAGAAUGAGGAUCCAAAAUGGAAAAAAGCAAGAGCGUGUUUGGGAGAAAGAGUGAAGAUUAAAGCAAACACCUCCCACUCUCUCUCUUACAACGGCUGUGAUGUCAUCAUUAUGAGCCCACAGGCCAAAAGGUUAUGA